GCCCACAGUCCUUCGGGCCACCGCGCGACAGCCCACAGUCCUUCGGGUUACUGCCACAUUACACCGUCGUGUAAUCAAACAGCCAUAGGCCAUGAUCCCGUCUAUCAGAGUCUUCCUGAUCCAGCGAAUAAGGGGUUUCCUUGAACCCGCCGGGUACGAGGUCUAAAGGAACACUAACUCACCCCAAUAUGCCUAGCAUUGUGGGUUACACAAAUGCUGUUGGCCAAUAUAUGAUUAAUAAUAAACCCGGUAAAAAUAACACAAGGUUCCUAGUAUUAAUCGCCACACAAUCAACACAUUCCACCUCAAAAAUGCCUAGCAU
rnacentral:lncRNA from 1 species